GUCAAAAAUUACAAUAAAUUGCAUUUUUUUUUAAAUUGCUCUUAGAUAAAGUACAAAGAAAAUAUAUGCGUUUCCCCUAUCAGCCAAUCAGAACCCUGUGAUCUCUUUAUUUUUACAGAGAUCGGCGCAUUAUCCCCCAUGUCCGCCGCGGGGGGAAACUAUUUGGGCGGUCCGCCUUCCGCAACUGUUUUAUUACUCAUCGGGUAAGCUACCCCUACUGUUUUCUAUGUAAUUUUUAUUGUUGCUGAACUGUAUCGUAUGACUUUAUUGUAUUAUGUAUUUUAUAGAUUGGCUCUCCUGAAGAAGCGCUAUUCCAGCGAAACUAGUAGAGAUUUCGUCCAAUCUUUGAUCUGUAUGAUUGUUUUGUAUUUUUUAUCUGUAAUAAAUCCUUUUUAAUGCAA